UAACGGUGAGUGAAUUCAAUAGAGCCUUUCUAAUAAUAAAUCUAAUAAUAUUUUGGAAUAAAUAAUGAAUCAGUUUGAAACUGACAAUACAAAGUGAUAGUCUUAUAUUAGGUUAAUUAAUUAGAUAUUAAAAAGUAGUAUGGGUAAAACUGUAUGAAUAUUUUUAUAUAUUAUAAAAAGAAAUAAGGAGUAAUCAUCUUCUAAGGCUAAAUAUGAUUAGAUCAUCAAUAGUGAAGAGUAACGUGAGUGAAAGAUGAAAAGACAGUCGAUGACUUGUGAAAUAGAUCCUGAAAUCGUUAAUCUAUAAGCAGUCAGAGUCUAAUUUAAAAAUUGGAUAAUGAUGUACCUUUUGCAUAAUGAGUCAGCGAGUAAAUAUUAAUAGCAAGAUAUAAUAGAAGUCCUAGUGAAAACGACUUAGUUAUAAAAUAGCUAUGGUGUAAGUUAUUAAUAUUUGACCCGAAACCUUAAGAUUUAGCCAUGGUCAGAUUAUAAGGAUCGAACAGGUGAGUGUUGCAAAACUCUCUGAUGAACUGUGGCUGGCUAAGUGAAAGACAAAUCUGUUGAGGAUAGCUGGUUCUCCACGAAAUAUAUCUUAGUAUAGACUGUAAAACUAGUUCUAAUCAUGUACAGCACUGAUAUUCAUAUCUAUUUAGAUUUAAUAGGGGGGUUUAUAAAACUCUACCUUUGAAUGUUAACCUCGGAAUUGGUUAGAAUAAUAUUACAGAUUCAGACUAUUUGUGAUAAGGUGGAUAGUCAAAAGGGAAACAGCCCUAAACACAUGUUAAAGUUCUUAAAUUAAUAUUAAGUGAAUGUAAGGAUGUUUUAAUUCGAUGACAGUUAUGAAGUGUAUCUGGAAGUCGUAAUCUAAUAAUGAAAGUGUAACAACUCAAUAACCUAUUGGUUUAUUAUUAUUAAAUUAAUAAUUUACUGAAUUGAAGCGCCGAAAAUUCAUAGGAUCUUUAAAUAUUAUACUGAUACUGUGUUUACAUGUAAUAAAAUUAUAUGUAAGGUAGUGGAGUGUUCUAUUAUAGGACGAAGGUUAGUUUUUAUAUUAACUGGACUUA
rnacentral:ncRNA from 1 species